AACGAACGCUGGCGGCAAGCUUAACACAUGCAAGUCGAACGGGUGUAGCAAUACAUCAGUGGCAGACGGGUGAGUAACACGUGGGAACCUUCCUAGGGGUACGGAACAACUCAGGGAAACUUGAGCUAAUACCGUAUACGUCCGUGAGGAGAAAGAUUUAUCGCCCUUAGACGGGCCCGCGGCGGAUUAGGUAGUUGGUGGGGUAACGGCCUACCAAGCCGACGAUCCGUAGCUGAUCUGAGAGGAUGAUCAGCCACAAUGGGACUGAGACACGGCCCAGACUCCUACGGGAGGCAGCAGUGGGGAAUCUUGGACAAUGGGCGCAAGCCUGAUCCAGCCAUGCCGCGUGAGUGAAGAAGGCCUUAGGGUUGUAAAGCUCUUUUACCAGGGACGAUAAUGACGGUACCUGGAGAAUAAGCCCCGGCAAACUUCGUGCCAGCCGCCGCAGUAACAC
rnacentral:rRNA from 1 species